CGUAGGGGGCGAGCGUUGUCCGGAAUUAUUGGGCGUAAAGAGCGUGUAGGCUGUUCGGUAAGUCUGCCGUGAAAACCUGAGGCUCAACCUCGGGCGUGCGGUGGAUACUGCCGGGCUAGAGGACGGUAGAGGCGAGUGGAAUUCCCGGUGUAGCGGUGAAAUGCGCAGAUAUCGGGAGGAACACCAGUAGCGAAGGCGGCUCGCUGGGCCGUUCCUGACGCUGAGACGCGAAAGCUAGGGGAGCGAACAGGAUUAGAUACCCUGGUAGUCCUAGCCGUAAACGAUGGACACUAGGUGUGGGGGGAGUCGAAUCCCUCUGUGCCGCAGUUAACGCGUUAAGUGUCCCGCCUGGGGAGUACGGCCGCAAGGACUA
rnacentral:rRNA from 1 species